rnacentral:rRNA from 1 species
AUUGAACGCUGGCGGCAUGCCUUACACAUGCAAGUCGAACGACGCUAGGGGCAACUCUAGCGAGUGGCGUACGGGUGAGUAAUGCAUCGGAACGUGCCCUCUCGUGGGGGAUAACCAGUCGAAAGAUUGGCUAAUACCGCAUGAGCUCGAGAGAGGAAAGCGGGGGACCGCAAGGCCUCGCGCGAGAGGAGCGGCCGAUGCCCGAUUAGCUAGUUGGUGGGGUAAUGGCCCACCAAGGCGACGAUCGGUAGCUGGUCUGAGAGGACGACCAGCCACACUGGGACUGAGACACGGCCCAGACUCCUACGGGAGGCAGCAGUGGGGAAUUUUGGACAAUGGGGGCAACCCUGAUCCAGCCAUGCCGCGUGUGUGAAGAAGGCCUUCGGGUUGUAAAGCACUUUCGGACGGAACGAAAUCGCGCGGGUGAACAAUCCGCGUGGAUGACGGUACCGUAAGAAGAAGCACCGGCUAACUACGUGCCAGCCGCCGCCGUAA